UACGUAGGGGGCAAGCGUUGUCCGGAAUUAUUGGGCGUAAAGCGCGCGCAGGCGGCCCUGUAAGUCUGGUGUUUAAGCUCGGGGCUCAACCCCGAUACGCACCGGAAACUGCAAAGCUUGAGUGCAGAAGAGGAAAGUGGAAUUCCACGUGUAGCGGUGAAAUGCGUAGAGAUGUGGAGGAACACCAGUGGCGAAGGCGGCUUUCUGGGCUGUAACUGACGCUGAGGCGCGAAAGCGUGGGGAGCAAACAGG
rnacentral:rRNA from 1 species